GUAGGUGGCAAGCGUUGUCCGGAAUUAUUGGGCGUAAAGCGCGCGCAGGCGGUUUUUUAAGGUCUGAUGUGAAAGCCCACGGGCUCAACCGUGGAGGGUCAUUGGAAACUGGAGAACUUGAGUACAGAAGAGGAAAGCGGAAUUCCACGUGUAGCGGUGAAAUGCGUAGAGAUGUGGAGGAACACCAGUGGCGAAGGCGGCUUUCUGGUCUGUAACUGACGCUGAGGCGUGAAAGCGUGGGGAGCAAACAGGAUUAGAUACCCUGGUAGUCCACGCCGUAAACGAUGAGUGCUAAGUGUUAGGGGGUUUCCGCCCCUUAGUGCUGCAGCUAACGCAUUAAGCACUCCGCCUGGGGAGUACGGCCGCAAAGGCUG
rnacentral:rRNA from 1 species